GAGCCAGGUGGGGUGGCCUCAGGCCUGUGCUCCUCCCCACCAGCCCCAUGGCCUCCACUGUCAGCCCAGGGCAUGAGCCCAGGGCCCUCCUUGAGCCUCAUCCUUGGUCCAGUGCUUGUGUGCACACCCCAGAAGCCAAGGAAGCCAAAGUUCCCUGGAAACAAGCCUAACUACCAAAACAAAGGCAAUAACAGUAACAAUGCACUUUCAACAAACAGUGGCUCUGCGCUCCACACACUUCAUCCUCACUGACUCCCUGUGAAGCGGCUAUUACUUAGGAUUCUCCCUACUGCCCAGAGGACUAGCUGAAGACCCGAGAGGCCUCCAAGUCACUUCCCACAGGUUUCAGGACUUCCCUUACACACCACAUGAUCUAACACACUGUCGCGAGGAUCUUUUGAGGAACAGCCAGCUAGGUUAUGCCAGGCAAGAGUAAAAAUGACCCAAAAUUGCACCAUGGUUACGUCAGAAGUCUCAGACAACAGAAUAUCAUGCAGGCUACUAAACACAAGAGUUCUGAAUCUAUGAAGUAGCGAGGAGGCUUCCGGACUGCUCCCCCGCCCACCGGACAUCCUGGCUGAGCUCCCUCAUGGCACGUCUCACCUGGCCGCCCGACCAACUUCAGCACCUUCUGCUUGGAACCAGCUCCUCCUCCAGGAUCAGCCCUGCUGAUGACAGAAUCACCAUCCUCCCAGCCCCUGCCCCCUGGACUGCCCCAAGCUCAGAACCCCAGAGUUAACCGAGCUCUCUGGCAUCGCCACUGCAAACUGUCACAAAAUGCUGUACCCAGACUGUCCCGUCCCUCUUUGCCCACUAGCACUGACCCCUGGUCCCUGCCACAGCCUCCUAAAUGGCCUCUCUGCAAUUCUGUCAGGCACUGUUCUAGGCACAGCACAGAUAAUGCUCAUCUACUCCUCCCAGCAAGUCCUAUUUCACAGCUGUGGAAACUGAAGUGCCGGGAGACUCAGUUCCCUUAAGGUAAUACAGCUGGCAAGCAGAAGGCAGCAAAGCUGGGACUUCCAUCCAGGCACAGUCUGGCCCCUGAGUCCAUGCUCCUCGCCGCCCUGCUGCAGGCCUUUCUAGCCCCCAGUGCAGCUCGAAGGCCCCUUCUGGGACCGUCUGACCAGGCAGUGCCAGCUCUAGAAGUGUCCGUUUGGGACAGAUGUCCCUGUGAGAAAGCCCUGUAGUUGAGAUCUGGCUCUUCCCAGCCACUGACCCACUCUUGCUACUUGUGUGCCAGCCACCCAAGUUUCUGUGAGGACCCUGGGACACAGCACCCUCUCUCCCACCUCAGCCUCACCUCUGCCAUCCUUAAAAGGCAGUCCUCAUUUCUGUGCUUUCUCGUAGAAGCUUCUGGUCCCUCCUGGCACAGCACCUCUUCAGAGAGGCCUUCCCUAACCAGCCCAUGAGGAUUUUCCUCCUGGUUAUUCUCCAGCAUGGACCCUGCUCAUCACCUCUAUGGAGCCAUCCCAAUCAGUCUGUGAUCAUGCAUUUACUUAACCUACCUGUUAGUGGUUGCUCCCUCCACAACUGGAAACACCUCAAGAACAGAAGUGAAGUCUGGCUUUUGCUCACUCUCACAUCUCAGCUCCUAGCACUGUGCCUGGCAUACAGCAGGUGCUCAAUAAAUAGCUGAAUGCAUGAAUGGGUCUUCAUUGAAUGGGCUUCACGAAUUGAUUUUAGAAAUCAGAAUACAAGUUAGAUACAUGUAGCACAUGCUAUGGCUGCAACUAUGUGAAUGUUAGGUGCCCACAUGAACAGGCUGCAAGGAAACUGGACACUGAACACACCUGGUUGCCAGGUGUCUCUUUGGGGUGUAUGGAUAAUGGACAGAUUUCUCCCCUAUUGUGGUUGCUCAUGAUAUUUGGAAACAGGCAAGAAUCCUUUAAGGAGGCUCUGAGGUCAAUCCCAAGGAAUCUGUGGUUUCUCCUCAAAGCCUGCUUGUCCCUGUUCAGGAGGCACACUGGAGUGAGUGAGUCUCACAGCCUAGACGGGAUACAGCUCCCUUCCUCUGGCCAAAGCAGCCAGAGCUAUAUCUUUCUUACCCCUCAAAACAGUGCCAUCAUCCGAGCAAUGACCUGAAUGUCUCAGGACACUGUUCUCAGAGUGUUGCUUAAGCAGAAAAUGCCAGCCCCAUGGAGCCCAGCAGGAUGAGUUUCAGCUUGCGUAUUCAGCAGCUGCAGCAGGGAAGCAGCCAACUCCCACUCACUGGGCACCUACUAAGUGCCAAGCAUGGUGCUGUGAGCUUUACAUGUGAUCUCAUUUGAGCUCCUUGGAAAGUCUUUUAGAACCCUGUUUUGGUUUUGUUUUUAUUUUUUUGAAAGAGGGUCUCACUCUGUCCCCCAGGCUGGAGUGCAGUGGCAUGAUCAGGGUUCACUGCAGCCUCAACUUCCCGGGUUCAAGAGAUCCUCCCACCUCAGCCCCUCAAGUAUCUGGGACUACAGGUAUCUGCCACCACAACCGGCUAUUUUUUUGGAUUUUAGUAGAGACAAGGUCUCACUACGUUGCUCAGGCUGGUCUUGAACUCCUGAGCUCAAGUGAUCUUCCCACUUCAGACUCCCAAAGUGCUGAGAUUACAGGUGUGAGUCACCACAUCCAGCCCUAGAACCAUUUCAAAGGUAAGGCUACUGAGCCUCACAGGCAUGAAGACUCUGGGGAAGAUUACAAAGAUGAUUACUCCAAUGAUGCCAGUGGCUGCAAAAUCAAAUGUCAACAAGACCCGGGCGGCAGCACAUGGGUGAGCACAGGCCCUGUCUACAGGCCCCUGCACCCUGGCCUCCAUUCCAAAGCAGCAGCUGGGGCUGGGGAGGCACUCGGUUUGCAAAUGGUGGCAAUCAAUUCCAUUAAAAGGAACAAUACAAAGUCCUUCUCUGUUAGAGAGAGGUAUUUCUAGAUGUAAUAAUAUGAUGUCUUCCAUUUGCUUUAAUACACUGUGUGGGUGGGUGGCGUAUUUUAAAUAGACAGAUGAAAGGGCAGAUAAAAUAAAACUUAGCUAAAUGGUAAAAACUGUUGAAGCUGAGGGCUGGGUAUAUGGAGAUUCAUGAUGCUAUUUUCUCUAGAAAUCCACUGUUUUA
rnacentral:lncRNA from 1 species